GGCCUUUUAGCUCAGUUGGCUAGAGCGUUGGCUGUACUAAAGCCUUCCCGUUGCUGGCGUGGGUUCAAAUCCCACCGAGGCUG
rfam:Schistocephalus solidus strain NST_G2 genome assembly, scaffold: SSLN_scaffold0005034